CCAAAGGCAGUGAAGAGAAGGAGUACAUCUAAUAUAUAUUAACAGAGAGAAGAUGGUUGGUGUGAAUCUUCAUUAUAUUUAGAUCGAAGCAGUCUCAGAGCCAUGAACCGAACUGUUAGGUAUUCUAACAAAGUAGAUUUCAUCGGAAUUCCACCGUUAUAAGGAAAAAGUAUAGUUCUAAUUCAUAUUAGAGAAGUACUGGUGAGAGCAGAUGUAUAUCUGAAUUUAGGUGGUAACACGGACAAAAUGUUCGCCCUAAAC
rnacentral:ncRNA from 1 species